rnacentral:tRNA from 2 species
GCGGGAGUAACUCAGUGGUAGAGUGCCACCUUGCCAAGGUGGACGUCGCGGGUUCAAAUCCCGUCUCCCGCU